ACAAGGUGUGUCGGUGCAGAGCAUUGCAUGGAGCUAUAAGGUAGGAAAGUCAACAGUACGCGAAAUCAUAUUAGAGACGUGUAAAGUAAUCUGGCAGCUACUUUCCCUAAUUUAUGUUAGCAAGCCAACAGAGUCUCAAUACAAGGACAUUGCAAACGAUUUUUGUAAUAUGUGGAACAUUCCGAAUUGUGUCGGUGAAAUUGAUGCAUCGUUUUGAGGGCUGUAAGUGAUGCGAAAUAUACUUACGUUCAGAGCAGUUAGUAUUGGCAGCUAUGGAAGUCAAAGUGACGGAGGAAUCUUUCGACUUACUCCAUUUGGCCAUGCAUUAUUACAAAACACUCUGCCUUUGCCACCACCUGUGCCACUGUCUGACGUGUCACCGGAACCUUUUCCUUACUUUUUCGUUGGAGAUGCUGCAUUCCCAUUACGAAAUAAUUUAAUGCGCCCAUUUCCUGGAGCUAAUCUAGCACACACGAAACGUAUUUUCAAUUAUCGAUUGUCACGCGCUCGUAUAGUCAUAGAAAAUUUCUUUGGUAUAUUGACUGCUCGGUGGAGAAUUUUGAAAAUAACGAUUGAAUGUAAUCCAGAAAAUUGUGAAAAAAUUGUGUUGGCUUGCAUAGCCUUACACAAUUUUAUAAUGUUGAAUGACCACAAUCGCUGGUAUUGUCCGGAGAACUAUGUAGAUCGAGUGGAAGGACCCGGUGAGUAUCGCCGGGAAAAUGAAAACAACUCUGUGCGACCAGUGCCAACUUCGGUGCGUAGAGGUCCUUCAAAUGCGUUUAACUUACGGGAGAGACUUGCUAACUAUUUUAUAAAUAAAGGAAUCUGUACCAUUCCAGAACAAUUUAGAGUCUAUUAUAGGAGGACCAUAUGCUCCUGGAGGACCUUAUUAGAAAUAAAUACCAUUUUUUUUUCAAUUCAUAAUUUUUUUCAUUUAAUUUAAUUAAAAACAAAAGCAUAUGU